rnacentral:misc_RNA from 1 species
UUGUCACUAUCAAUUACGAGUCGCAAUACUGAAAGAAUAUAAAGUUUGGAGAAACAUCAACACUCGGUCUGUCAGAAACAUAAACUACGACUAUAGACCUGGCGACUCUUCAGGAUAGGAAGGAACGACAGAACGCUAGGCCACUGGCAGGGGACGCCAGAAUUUGAUUGGAAACGCAUGGUUUCCGAACUACAAAAAUAGAAGAAAAUGGCGAAAAAAAUCGAAAUCACGCGCGAGAAUAGUUCUGCGUCUAUUAUUCAUGGUGCUGCAAAGUGGCGUCGCACCGAUGUCGAUAGCUCUGAUGGAAAUCGGAACACCGCGAUGGAAGGGAAAUCUUCCCUACAACUGCGCACUCUAGAUGCUUGACGUAUUCACGAGGGACGACCGAGCGAUUUUGAAAAGAAGAAUUCAUAUGUUGAAAAUCGAAGGAUGUGGAUCGAGAAACAAAGAAGAGAUUAAAACGCUGUAUGAAACACGAAUAGCGAAG